CCCGCUGAACUUAAGCAUAUCAAUAAGCGGAGGAAAAGAAACUAACAAGGAUUCCCCUAGUAACUGCGAGUGAAGAGGGAAGAGCUCAAAUUUAAAAUCUGGCUGUUCUUGCAGCGGUCCGAGUUGUAGUUUAGAGAAGUGUUAUCCGCGCUGGCCUGUGCAAAAGUUUCUUGGAAAAGAACAUCAUAGAGGGUGACAAUCCCGUCUUUGGCACAGACUACCAGGGCUUUUGUGAUGCGCUCUCGACGAGUCGUGUUGUUUGGGAAUGCAGCACUAAAUGGGUGGUAAAUUCCAUCUAAAGCUAAAUAUUGGCGAGAGACCGAUAGCGAACAAGUACCGUGAGGGAAAGAUGAAAAGAACUUUGAAAAGAGAGUUAAACAGUACGUGAAAUUGUUGAAAGGGAAACGCUUGAAGUCAGUCGUGUCCUCCAGGGAUCAGCUUGCCCUCUUUGGGUGACCGUACUUUCUGGUGGAUGGGUCAGCAUCAAUUUUGACUGUUGGAUAAAAGCCUAGGGAAUGUGGCAUCUUCGGAUGUGUUAUAGACCUUGGUUGGAUACAAUGGUUGGGAUUGAGGAACUCAGUGUGCCUUUAUGGUUGGGGCUUGCUCACACCACACACUUAGGAUGCUGGCGUAAUGGCUUUAAUCGACCCGUCUUGAAACACGG
rnacentral:rRNA from 1 species